rnacentral:rRNA from 1 species
UACAGAGGUCCCAAGCGUUGUUCGGAUUCACUGGGCGUAAAGGGUGCGUAGGUGGUUGCGCAAGUCUGAUGUGAAAUCUCCGGGCUCAACCCGGAAAUGGCAUUGGAAACUGCGUGGCUGGAGGGUUGGAGGGGGGACUGGAAUACUUGGUGUAGCAGUGAAAUGCGUAGAUAUCAAGUGGAACACCAGUGGCGAAGGCGAGUCCCUGGACAACACCUGACACUGAGGCACGAAAGCUAGGGGAGCAAACAGG